AAUCAUCUAUUUCAGGAAUUUUUAAACUGGGGUCCACAGACUGCCCUUUUCCUCAAGGGGUCCAUGAACAGUUUUUAGGAAAACUAUGGCCUUGGGAACUGAUCCCUUUUUGACAAACUGAAAUACACACCCACCCCAAAACCCUCACCAGCUGACAGUGGAAGAAUUCAGGUGGGAAAACUUGCCCUUUCCUAGGAGCUACCAACAAUUUCAGAGAGAAGAAUUUCGAAGGAUCUCAACAACUCUAUGUGUAGAAAAACUGGUUGUAAGAAGAGACAGCUUUAUAUAAGCAGAAAAUAUACUCAUAAUCUUUUAAAAGGAGAAGUUAUUACCUUAGCACAAUAGAAUUUGAAGCUGAAAGAGAUAUUACAGAUCAUCUAAUCCCGAAGUAUGCAGAUUGAAAAAUCAAGGCCCAGAAAGUAAAAGCUUCCCAAGGUUACAUAGUAAAGAAUAUGAUUGGAAUUUGAAUAGAAGUCCUCAGACACUACUUCUGUUUCUUCUCCCUCUAUUUUAUAUUCUCAAAAGAGCGCCAUGAUCACUGCAGUCAGUGCCCCUUAGAAGCAAAGCUAUGGCAAAUCUGAACAGCAUACUAGGAAGCAGAGACAUAAUUUUGUCAACAGAAGUCCAUACAAUCAGAGGUAUUUUUUUCCCAGGACUAAUGUGUGGCUUUGAGAGUUGGACUAUAAGGAAAGCUGAACCCCCUUGAAUCAGUGCUUUCAAUAUGUAGUACUGGAGACUUCUGAGAGCCCUGUGGACAUCAAAGAAGUCAAAUCAAUCAAUACUUAGAGAAAUCAUUCCAGGUUUUUCCCUGGAAGGACAAAUAGUGAAGUUGAAGCUUAAAUAUUUUGGCCACAUAAUGAGAAGACCCUGACUUUGGGACAGAUUGAAAGCAAAAGGAGAAAGAGACAGUAGAAGAUGAAAUAGUUAAAUAGUAUUAUGGAAGCAAUAGAUGUGAGCUUGAACAGAGUUUAGGAUAUAAUUGAGGAUAGAAGGACUUGGAGUGUCAUAGGAUUCACAAGGGUCUCAAAAAGUCAUAUGAGACUGGACAUUAACAACAACUGCCUGUCACUCUGAGACUAGUUUUACUAACACUGUGUAUUUCUGUUCAGUGAAGCUAGGUCCUAUAUGACUAAUGUCCUUGUGAUAAUCAAUAUUAUAAUCAAUAAAUAUAUGCCAAGUAUUUAUGGUGCCUACUAGGGAUACAAAAUAAAAAAGCCAACCCCAGCUCUCAAAGAACUUAACAAUCUAAAGGAGGAAGACAAUAUACAGAAGGAAGCUAGAGUUGGGGGGCAUAGUGUAUUAUGAUGUUUUUGAAGUCAAAACCAACAGAACAGUUGAUGAAAAAUAAAUACUUUAGUUGUGAAGUUUUGAGCCUUAUUUGGGAAAAAGCAUUGGAAAGAGUUUGUUGUUCCAACCUCCAGUCCUCCAACUAGAGAGAAGAGGCAAAUGAAAUUGGU